AUACGAAAGGUGCAAGCGUUGUUCGGAUUUACUGGGCGUAAAGAGAGUGUAGGUUGUUUAUUAAGUCGGAUGUGAAAUCCCGGGGCUCAACCUCGGAACUGCAUUCGAUACUGGUAGACUAGAGUUCGGGAGGGGUAAGCGGAAUUCCGUGUGUAGCAGUGAAAUGCGUAGAUAUACGGAGGAACCCCUGAGGAGAAGGCGGCUUACUGGACCGAUACUGACACUGAGACUCGAAAGCGUGGGUAGCAAACAGGAUUAGAUACCCCAGUAGUCC
rnacentral:rRNA from 1 species